rnacentral:rRNA from 1 species
AUGAACGCUGGCGGCGUGCCUAAUACAUGCCAGUCGCGCGAACAGACGAGGAGCUUGCUCCUCUGACGUUAGCGGCGGACGGGUGAGUAACACGUGGAUAACCUACCUAUAAGACUGGGAUAACUUCGGGAAACCGGAGCUAAUACCGGAUAAUAUAUUGAACCGCAUGGUUCAAUAGUGAAAGACGGUUUUGCUGUCACUUAUAGAUGGAUCCGCGCCGCAUUAGCUAGUUGGUAAGGUAAUGGCUUACCAAGGCAACGAUGCGUAGCCGACCUGAGAGGGUGAUCGGCCACACUGGAACUGAGACACGGUCCAGACUCCUACGGGAGGCAGCAGUAGGGAAUCUUCCGCAAUGGGCGAAAGCCUGACGGAGCAACGCCGCGUGAGUGAUGAAGGUCUUCGGAUCGUAAAACUCUGUUAUUAGGGAAGAACAAAUGUGUAAGUAACUAUGCACGUCUUGACGGUACCUAAUCAGAAAGCCACGGCUAACUACGUG